GGGAUCGCUCGCGGGCGAGAGUUGUGCCUUGCAAGCACGACGACGGGGUUCGACUCCCCGCGGUUCCAC
rnacentral:tRNA from 1 species